CAGCCGGCGCGCGGCCCGCGCCCCCGGCUCGGCUCACGCGGGGCCCCGGCCCUCCCCCAGCCCUGGGCGGCGGGAGUGGAGCCGGAUCCCGCUCUUUCGUUUUCGUUUCCCGGAAGGAUAGCGCCUACCCCAGCGCCUCGCGCGCCUGCUCUCGGGGCCCAGGGUUCACGCCCCGGCGCUUCUCGCCAGAUUUCGCCCCAGGCGACCUUUCAGUUCUCAGCGCCCAGCGAGGGGCCUCGGGGAGAGGGGCAAGGAGCACCGCCCAGGGCCCAGCAGCGCCAGCCGGGAGCGCUCGCGACAGAAAGCCGGUGGCCCCUCACCUCCACCUGGGAUGCAGGAAGGAACACUGGCCUAUUCUCCUGUAGGUCCUGCAGCGGCCACACACCCCUUAGGCACCCAGGUCCAAGCUAGAUGUGAAGCUCAAGUGCAACUGCUGGGUGAGACUGGAAUCUGCAAGCUUCCAGGAAGACUCCGCCUCCAGCCGGCGCUGUGGAGCAGGGAGGACGUGCUGCACUGGCUGCGCUGGGCCGAGCAGGAGUACUCGCUCCCGCGCACCCCGGAGCGCGGCUUCCAGCUGAACGGCCGCGCGCUCUGCAUCCUCACCAAGGACGAUUUCCGCCGCCGCGCUCCGGGUUCAGGUGACGUCCUGUAUGAGCUGCUCCAGUUCAUCAAGACCCAGCGGCGAGCCCUGGUGUGCAGGCCGUUCCUCCCGGGGACCUGCCGGCAGAGGACGCGCCCCGGGCUGCCCCAGGCCCCGGAAGAGGGGAUCGGGCCCUCUCAGGCAGCCCCCCAACCCACCGCCAAGUGCCUUCUGUCACAGCCACCAGCCCUGGGGCUUGCCAGCUCCUUCAGCCACCUGGGUUCUCUCAGUCCAGCCAGGCAGCCCCUCAGAUUAUCUCAUUGUGCAGAGCCCGGCUGCAGGACCAGGGGGGUCUGCUCCUUCCCCAGGAUGCCACGGGCCCCCAUUGAUGGCAGGAUCGCAGGUCCCCAGGGACACGGUCCUCAUGGCUCCUCUGUGCUGACCUGCAGACUGCCACCUGCUGUGGGACUACGUGUACCAGCUGCUCCGGGACGCCAGGUACGAGCCCUACGUCAGGUGGGAGGACAAGGACGCCAAGGUCUUCCGAGUCGUGGAUCCCAACGGGCUCGCCAGACUCUGGGGGAACCAAAAGAACCGGGUGAACAUGACCUAUGAGAAGAUGUCCCAUGCCCUGCGCCACUAUUACAAACUGAACAUCAUCAGGAAGGAGCCGGGGCAGAAGCUGCUGUUCAGGUUCCUGAAGACUCCAUAGGAGAAAGUCCGGCACAAGAGCAGCCACCUGGAGCAGCCGGAGAGCCAGGAGCAGGGCGGGAUGGACUUCAAGGACAAGAUGUUUGUGGUCCCUCUGUGAGGGGCCAGCAGGCUCCGGGCAUGGAUGGGGCGGAGACCAAGCCUCCCCUCGAGGCAGCCCCCUGGCUCCUUGCAGGGCAGCGGGGAUUCCCAGACAGAUUGUGUGAUCCUGGAAUCGUAGCUGUCGUCUGGAACCCCAAGCUGCCUGGGGCCUGGGGUGGCUGAGAGCUGGGAGGCCUCACACCCAGGACACUGGGAGAGGCUGGUCAACCUUUGUGUAAUGCAAACAGAGUGGACUGUCUUGCUGUCCUAUCCUGGGUACCUGCCCAGCCCAGGAGAGGUGGCCAGGCUCUGGCCCCGCCCAAGAGAGGACUGGAGGUCCCUCACAGAGGCUCAGUUUUCCUCAUCUGCAAAAGGGGUGCACUUAUAAAAACCCACCCUUGGGGAUGACGUAUGAAA